rnacentral:sRNA from 1 species
CGCUCCGUCCUAGGGGAGUAGUCUCCCACGAGCGCCAUGCUCGUCCGGCAUACGUCAACAUACUUGGUCAACAGACCAUGGCGUAUGCGACCCAGGAGUCCGCACAGACGGACCGGGGUUUGACAAGACCUAUGACACGAAC